GGGCAUGAUCUCUUUUGGGUGGACAUCAAUCGGCAUGAAAACCCUAGGUCUUCUUGCUAGGGUUUCGAAAAAAGAAAAAAGAGAGUUGAGAGAGUCUCACCUCCAUUUUUCUUCCUCAAUGUCCUUCUUCAACCUCUAAAAGUGUUCAAGAGUUUUGAAGGAAGGAAUCAAAUCAGCCUUCGACACAGACUUCACACGAGCUAACACUCCCGAGGAGAUUGAUUGGAUCGGAGCUUCGAGUGGACGUCCUAUCGA
rnacentral:lncRNA from 1 species